GACGAGCGCUGGCGGCGUGCCUAAUACAUGCAAGUAGAACGCUGAAGGAGGAGCUUGCUCUUCUGGAUGAGUUGCGAACGGGUGAGUAACGCGUAGGUAACCUGCCUGGUAGUGGGGGAUAACUAUUGGAAACGAUAGCUAAUACCGCAUAAUAACAGUUGUUGCAUGACAACUGUUUGAAAGUUGCAAUUGCAUCACUACCAGAUGGACCUGCGUUGUAUUAGCUAGUUGGUGGGGUAACGGCUCACCAAGGCGACGAUACAUAGCCGACCUGAGAGGGUGAUCGGCCACACUGGGACUGAGACACGGCCCAGACUCCUACGGGAGGCAGCAGUAGGGAAUCUUCGGCAAUGGACGAAAGUCUGACCGAGCAACGCCGCGUGAGUGAAGAAGGUUUUCGGAUCGUAAAGCUCUGUUGUAAGAGAAGAACGAGUGUGAGAGUGGAAAGUUCACACUGUGACGGUAUCUUACCAGAAAGGGACGGCUAACUACGUG
rnacentral:rRNA from 1 species